rnacentral:lncRNA from 1 species
AAACAUCUUGUGUUAAUAAUAUAAAAAUCAAAGUAUAAAAUCAAAGUAUGCAAAGGAAAACUCCGAGGCAAAACUCAAAGUAUUCAAAAGCGCAAUCCAAACUAUUCAAAGGAAACUCAAAGUAAAAAGCUCGGAUAAGCUUAAAAGAAGAAAAGCAAGGCUUAUCCUUUCACGGAUAAACAGCUCCUUCAUACCUCCAAUAGUACUGCAAAGUUCUAAACAACCAUGCUACAAUCUUACAGGUUUGUUAGGCUUUCACAGGUCUGCUUACGCCUCCGUGGGCUCGAUUACGCCCGUACAAGUUUGCUUCACCUUUGUUGGCUCAUCUAAGCCUUAAGUAGAUAGGUUUGACUCCGUCUUGCCAAGAUUAUCUUGCCUUUACAAAUUCUCCAAUGAUUUUUCCUCAAUAGGCAUACCUAUGCCUCUCAAAUAUAUAUAUUCAUUUACCAAUCAUGUUGGUACACUUGGAACAUGUCUACGUCCUUCGCAGGUUCGUCCAAGCUUUCACAGGCUUGGUUAUGCUUUCGCAGGCUCGCUCACACCAUCGCAGGCUUGAGGAUAGUUUUGUGCACCUCUAUUGGUGGACUCAAUUUCAUAAUGCUCAAUCCGAAAAUGGAGGCUUAAGAGUCUUAUAAUUGAUUCAUAGUAAAAAACUAACAAUUUCUGUGCAUUUGUGAGUUGUCUCAAAUGUCUCUACAGGCAAAAAUGAAAUAUCAAAGUCAAACCAACAUAUAGAUUAACUUGUGACAGAGCUGCGUAGCCUCAAUGAUGCAGCCUUGUAGCCUCGACGUUUCGGUCCAAGAACGCGCUUUGACUUUACGAAGACUUUCUACAACGUCCUUAUUUGGGAAAUCAAGAUCAUUACCUCACAAAUAGCAACAACACUGUUACGCCGAAUUCAGCCCUGCCACUGGAAGUUCUUUAGUCUAGCCAAAACACCAGAAUUGCCACGUUUUGACCGGACUAGGGGGGGGAGAGAAGCUGAUGAGGACAAAAAUAUGCAUCCCUUGAAGACUAGGAGAUUAAAGCCGAGCCAACAAUAACAGCGCUGUUCAUGGUCUAGCAGCCCUGAUUUUUUGGAAUUUGGAGCUAUCUUGAAAACUGUCAAGUUCUAGAUAAAGAAGGAGAUUAUCAUGGAAAAGAUGAUAAAUAUGAGGAAUUAGAGUCCUAUUCUAAGUCUCAAUAGAGUCCUUUUCUAAGUAGGUUUCUUAGUAUUUUGCCUAUAAAUAAGGCAUGUAUUUUCAUUAUUUAGGGCAUCCCAUCGGUACCAACCGAUCCAUCAUUGUACCAUGUAAUCUCUCCCCAAAACAUAGUGAAAACCCCCCAAACAACCCCG